GACGAACCGUGCGAACGUUGUUCGGAAUCACUGGGCUUAAAGGGCGCGUAGGCGGGUGACCAAGUCAGGGGUGAAAUCUUUCGGCCCAACCGGAAAAGUGCCUCUGAUACUGGUCGUCUUGAGGGAGGUAGGGGUCGAGGGAACUGGUGGUGGAGCGGUGAAAUGCGCAGAUAUCAGGAAGAACACCUAUGGCGAAGGCAGCUCUCUGGGACGGUACUGACGCUGAGACGCGAAAGCGUGGGGAGCGAACAGG
rnacentral:rRNA from 1 species